GCCGGGCGUGGUGGCACACGCCUGUAAUCCCAGCUACUCGGGAGGCUGAGGCAGGAGAAUCGCUUGAACCCAGGAGGCAGAGGUUGCAGUGAGCCAAGAUCGCGCCACUGCACUCCAGCCUGGGUGACAGAGUGAGACUCUGUCUCAA
rnacentral:sRNA from 1 species